rnacentral:misc_RNA from 1 species
GAUGAAGAACGCAGCGAAAUGCGAUAAGUAGUGUGAAUUGCAGAAUUCAGUGAAUCAUCGAAUCUUUGAACGCACAUUGCGCCCCUUGGUAUUCCAUGGGGCAUGCCUGUUCGAGCGUCAUUUGUACCUUCAAGCUCUGCUUGGUGUUGGGUGUUUGUCUCGCCUCUGCGCGCAGACUCGCCUCAAAACGAUUGGCAGCCGGCGUAUUGAUUUCGGAGCGCAGUACAUCUCGCGCUUUGACAACAAAACGACGAAGUCCAAAAAGUACAUUUUUUACACUCUUGACCUCGGAUCAGGUAGGGAUACCCGCUGAACUUAAGCAUAUCAAUAAGCGGAGA